GAGCCUCAGUCCACCACCCUUUUCUUUCACCGGCAGUGGGGUGAGUAGAGAAGAAAGACUUCAUGAGGUCCCAGGAACUGCCAGCAGAUCUGCCACUGUGCCUCACUCUCUAGCCUGGGGCUGAGGCCCAGCAGGGAUGUGGCAGGAUAACUGUCCCAGCAUCAUCUCCCACCCCAUCCCAUAUUUCUCUACACCUCCCUCUCUUCGCACCUCUCAAGCCUGUACCAUAAAUACCCCUUUCACCUGGGGCUGCCCCACUCUUAAAGACUGCUACCUCCUGGAGGGCGGAUACCCAUAUUUUAUACCUCAUUUUCUCUCCAAUGUCUUGCCCUGGCUCAACCUGGUGAUUACUAAGCAUUUGAGGAGGGAAAGCAAAGUAGAAAGUAAAUGAGGGAAGGAUGAAAUAAUUGAACUCCGAAAAAGAACAAGCUACUAUCAAGUUUUACAGCUCUGCGUGGGGACAACGUACCCCUCUGGUCCAGUGUCCAUCUCCUUUUUAGGAAGACAGGAGACUCUUCAGUGAUCUUCCUGCUUGCUCCCCAUUAACCUCUGGUUUGCUGAACUCUCUGGCUUUUUCUUCUGGGCCCUCCACAUCUGCCUUCUCUUCCUUCCUACAUACAUGUGUUGUUUGGUGGUACAUUUUUGCUCUGUGACAAGCACCUUCUUAAGUACCAUGGUGGACACAGAUGAGCCCCAAAUGGGCUUGCAGUCCAUUGGGUUAGGGGUGGGUUGGGAAUUGAACCCACAGCCCUCAUAUUUUAACCCCAGGAAAAGCUGAAAUACUCUCGGCAAAGGUCUGGCCCCAUCCCAAGGUGUUGCUCAAAGAAAGGUGUCCAAAGAAACUUGAACUAUAGAAGGAACCUUGGCAGAGAUAAAAUUGCAUUUAGCACUCCCAGGGGACCACGUAAUGGAUGGAAACGCAGCUCCUCUCACACCAGCAAGUGAACAUUUUUCUUACUCCCGUCUCUGGCUGCAACGGGGGAGGAGUGUAGAGAGAAAAGAAAAGAAAGAAAAAGCCAUGGUGACGCCUGUGGGCUCUUCUUGGAAUUUGAGCAUUGAGUGGGUAUGCUAAAUAUGGACACGUUUAUCCUAAGAAAAGAUCCACACAUUCGCAACUGAGGUUUAUUGAAAUGAGAUCUGUUCUUUGGUGAAAAUACAGUCCUCUUUGGUGUGGAAGAGACCAGAAAGAUUAUUUAUCUGAUCUCUGCCUCCCAUAAGUAGCCUCUCGCCGCUCUCCAGCUCUCUUGCCACAGAUGUGAUAACAUCUGGGCUGUUAUUAUCACCCGGGGCAAGCUCUGUGUCCCUGGGGACUUGGCACCUGAACUGUGGUUCUCCUGGGAGGCCCUUGAUCUGCCUGCCACACAAGGGCCAUAAAACAGGUUGGCUAAUUGAUUCAUUCUUCUUAGGUUUUGAUUUCACAAUAAGAGAAUACAUAAAAAAUAAAGUCCGGACCAGA